ensembl:lncRNA
AUGUGUGUGUGUAUCUUGUGUAACUCUGUUCCUGUUUCAGAUCUCCUAUUUUCCGCUGUCUGGGACACUCCGUUGAGAGGCAGGCUGUAUUUACAAGCAACAUGGCAAGGAAGGAUCUUAUUAUGCCGUCAGAGAUCUGGCGCUUCAGAUGUGGUGGCAUGUUUUCAUGCAGGUGUUUGGGUGAAGGUGAGCCCUCAGUCACUGUGUCCAUUGUGUGAGAUCAACCCAGCAUAUAGACACUUUUCUCCUGCUCCAGGAUGUUUCAAACAACCUUUUAAUACCCAUUACUGGACCGCCUUCAGAGCAAACAUCACUAAUGAUGAACAAACUCAACAUAAGUUCAUAUAACCACACAAACCACUGGCAUCCACCUUGAAGAUCACUCUCCUAAGACAAUACUUUCACAUACAACUAGUAUUCAAAUCACAUUCCUCUCAUUCAUUCUCUCUUUUCUUUUGCUCCUUCUCUUUUCUAUAAACUCCGCUGCACUGUGCAAAGUUCACAGAUAAGGUAGUGUGUGACUUCAGGGUCAUAUAGGCCUCACCUGCACACAAGGUCAUCUUUAGCUGAACUCGUAUUAGCCUGUGACCCUUCGACCUCCACACCGCUCCACCCCAACCCAUGAUUCCUUGUUUUUUUUUUUUUUAGUCUGUGCUGUUCAAGCUGUCCAGUCAUUACAUAAGUGCAUAAAGACACUAUUCAGUUCAAGAACAGGCUGCUCAUUUCUAUGUACUUCAAACUUAGUUUAUAUAACAAUAGACACAGCCCAAAAAGGGGGCUUGGAACAACAGGGUCCAAAGUCCAAAUAUUAAGUCCCGAAUUGCGAAUAUCAUAACAGACUUUAAAACCUUUGUUCAUGAGGACAAUUCCUCUACAGCCAAGUUGCUUGAUAAAUGCUGGCUAAGGCUCAGUCCUCUGAUUUUGCUCUGAGUAGACUUUCGCACAGCUCAGGUUGGAGACGUGAGCCAGGCAAGGCCCUCAGCGGUGCGGGAAUGAACACAGCAAAAUAAAAGGCCAGAAUAUGAGACUCUCUAGUGAGAC